rnacentral:rRNA from 1 species
AGAUGGAUUCUGAGACACGAAUCCAGGCCCUACGGGGUGCAGCAGGCGCGAAAACUUUACAAUGCUGGCAACAGCGAUAAGGGAACCUCGAGUGCCAGGUUACAAAUCUGGCUGUCGAGAUGCCUAAAAAGCAUUUCAUAGCAAGGGCCGGGCAAGACCGGUGCCAGCCGCCGCGGUAACACCGGCGGCUCGAGUGGUAACCGUUAUUAUUGGGUCUAAAGGGUCUGUAGCCGGCCGGAUAAGUCUCUUGAGAAAUCUGGCAGCUUAACUGUCAGGCUUUCAGGAGAUACUGUCUGGCUCGAGGCCGGGAGAGGUGAGAGGUACUUCAGGGGUAGGGGUGAAAUCUUGUAAUCCUUGAAGGACCACCAGUGGCGAAGGCGUCUCACCAGAACGGACCUGACGGCAAGGGACGAAAGCUAGGGGCACGAACCGGAUUAGAUACCCGGGUAGUCCUAGCCGUAAACGAUACUCGCUAGGUGUCGGCCACGGUGCGACCGUUGUCGGUGCCGUAGGGAAGCCG